UACGUAGGGUGCGAGCGUUGUCCGGAAUUAUUGGGCGUAAAGAGCUCGUAGGCGGUGUGUCACGUCGUUCGUGAAAACCUGCAGCUUAACUGUGGGCGUGCGGUCGAUACGGGCAGGCUAGAGUUCGGUAGGGGAGACUGGAAUUCCUGGUGUAGCGGUGAAAUGCGCAGAUAUCAGGAGGAACACCGGUGGCGAAGGCGGGUCUCUGGGCCGAUACUGACGCUGAGGAGCGAAAGCGUGGGGAGCGAACAGG
rnacentral:rRNA from 1 species